UAGGCUUGACAUGCUAGUUAAAGCGGGUGAAAGCCCGUGUCCUUUUGGGGCUAGCACAGGUGCUGCAUGGCUGUCGUCAGCUCGUGCCGUGAGGUGUUGGCUUAAGUGCCGCAACGAGCGCAACCCCUACCUUUAGUUGCCAGCGGGUAAUGCCGGGGACUCUAGAGGGACUGCCGGGGACAACUCGGAGGAAGGUGGGGAUGACGUCGAAUACGUAAC
rnacentral:misc_RNA from 1 species